AUGAAGAAAGCUCAGGAAAAACUUGGCGGCUUAGUUGGAAGGAACCCAGGAUUGUCAAAAGAUUUCAAUGAUAUAGUUGACUUUAGCUUCAGUCCAGGAGAAUUUGAGACAAAAUGGACAAGCUUCAAGGAUAAGUGGCCUUUAUUGCUGGAACCCCACUUUGAUAAGCUGUAUGAGUACCGGGCAACAUGGGUGCCGUGUUACUUCAAACACCGGUUUUUUCCCUUCUUGCAGUCUACCCAGCAAAGUGAAGGUUUUAAUGCAGUUCUUAAGCAUUAUGUGAACCCGCACAACUCUAUGUUGAACUUUGUUAAGCAAUAUGAGAAAAUACAGACACAUGUGCUUGUCCGUGAGGUCGGAAAUGACUAUAGGACAGACCACUUGGAGGUUGAGUUGUGGUCUGAUUUCCCAAUUGAGAAACAAGCCUAUGAAGCCUAUACUAGGGACAUUUACCUCAAGUUCCGAACCAAGUUUGAACUAAUUGGGAAAUACAAUGUCGGUCCGCAUGGUGCUAGUUUGUUUGAGCUUUACCCAAAUAGAGAAGGAUGGGUUGCUAAUUAUGGUUCUAUAAGCUAUUAUGUGACAGCAGAAGUCGAAGCUGGUGACUACAAAUGUGACUGUCGCAAGAUGUCCAAAGAUGGAAUGUUGUGUUGCCAUAUUUUGAAAAAAAUUACACACAUUGGUGUCGAUGCAAUUCCUGCCCAAUACAUACUAAGAAGGUGGACACAGCAAGCAAUAACAGGUGUUGCACAGAGCCAGAUGAGAUGCCACCGCAAUCGAAGAAGCUAG
rnacentral:rRNA from 1 species